GAUGAACGCUGGCGGCGUGCCUAAUACAUGCAAGUCGAGCGAACAGACGAGGAGCUUGCUCCUCUGACGUUAGCGGCGGACGGGUGAGUAACACGUGGAUAACCUCCCUAUAAGACUGGGAUAACUUCGGGAAACCGGAGCUAAUACCGGAUAAUAUAUUGAACCGCAUUGUUCAAUAGUGAAAGACGGUUUUGCUGUCACUUCUAGAUGGAUCCGCGCGUCAUUAGCUAGUUGGUAAGGUAACGACUUACCAAGGCAACGAUGGGUAGCCGAACUGAGAGGGUGAUAGGCCACACUGGAACUGAGACACGGUCCAGAGUCCUACGAGAGGCAGCAGUAGGGAAUCUUCCGCAAUGGGCGAAAGCCUGACGGAGCAACGCCGCGUGAGUGAUGAAGGUCUUCGGAUCGUAAAGCUCUGUUAUUAGGGAAGAACAACUGUGUAAGUAACUAUGCACGUCUUGACGGUACCUAAUCAGAAAGCCACGGCUAACUACGUG
rnacentral:rRNA from 1 species